rnacentral:tRNA from 1 species
GCGCUCAUAGCUCAGCUGGAUAGAGCACUUGGCUACGAACUAAGGGGUCGGGAGUUCGAAUCUCUCUGAGAGCACCA